UAGGCCAUUUUCCAGUGAUUGAAGCCACUGUUCUGGAAAGGAUGUAUGCCCAGCUUUCGAAGACACAGUCCCACAUAUACGUCUUCAAGGUGAAGCAGUCUUGUGUGGAGUGAGGUCUUGUAAAUGAGUUCAGCCACAUCGGCUGAAAAGAUGUAGCCAGUCCCCGAACAGAAAGGUGGGAUCGCUUUGGGACUCUGAGAUUCUCACGCAGGAAGUUUAUUGGAGCAUGUUCUUAGGAACAACACCUGUCUCUAAUGUGAGAGGAGAAAGAAGAAGGCAAAGGGAGAGUCUGAACCUUGAUGCAGUCACAGCACAGACCUGAGCUGACCCUGCAGGGAGCUCUGGGGCUGGGAUGGUUCUGCAGAGUCCAGUGGGUGCCAGGCCAGCUUGCAUGGGCUUGGGCAGAGCUGGUGGUACACACUUCUUCCCAACUUCACAUUCAAUGACAUCAUGUUGAUAUCUUGCAACUGGUGGCACAUACAUUUAUAACACAGUAACAGGCAAUGCUGGAAACCAGGGGUUCUCCCACUUCCCUUGCCUAGAAAGCUGGUUUGCCAGAAAACCCACAGUGAAGAAAGAUUGCUUCCAUAUCUCUGUGCCCAAAUUCAUGCAAUAAGUUCUUCGUUGUU
rnacentral:antisense_RNA from 1 species